rnacentral:rRNA from 1 species
CCUACGGGAGGCUGCAGUGGGGAAUAUUGGACAAUGGGCGAAAGCCUGAUCCAGCCAUGCCGCGUGUGUGAAGAAGGCCUUCGGGUUGUAAAGCACUUUCAGUGGGGAAGAAAGCCUUGGGGCUAAUACCCUCGAGGAAGGACAUCACCCACAGAAGAAGCACCGGCUAACUCCGUGCCAGCAGCCGCGGUAAUACGGAGGGUGCGAGCGUUAAUCGGAAUUACUGGGCGUAAAGCGCGCGUAGGCGGUCUGAUAAGCCGGUUGUGAAAGCCCCGGGCUCAACCUGGGAACGGCAUCCGGAACUGUCAGGCUAGAGUGCAGGAGAGGACGGUAGAAUUCCCGGUGUAGCGGUGAAAUGCGUAGAGAUCGGGAGGAAUACCAGUGGCGAAGGCGGCCUUCUGGACUGACACUGACGCUGAGGUGCGAAAGCGUGGGUAGCAAACAGGAUUAGAUACCCCAGUAGUC